UACGGGGGGGCAAGCGUUGUUCGGAAUUACUGGGCGUAAAAGGGCUCGUAGGCGGCCUAACUAAGUCAUACGAUGAAAUCCCGUCGGCUUAACCGGGGAACUGCGUCUGAUACUGGAUGGCUUGAGUUCGGGGAGAGGGAUGCGGAAAUUCCGAGGUGUAGCGGUGAAAUGCGUAGAUAUCGGAGGAACACCGGUGGCGAAGGCGGCAUCCUG
rnacentral:rRNA from 1 species